AUUGAACGCUGGCGGCAGGCCUAACACAUGCAAGUCGAACGAGUGGCGGACGGGUGAGUAAUGUCUGGGAAACUGCCCGAUGGAGGGGGAUAACUACUGGAAACGGUAGCUAAUACCGCAUACCAUCGGAUGUGCCCAGAUGGGAGUAGCUUGUAGGUGGGGUAACGGCUCACCUAGGCGACGAUCCCUAGCUGGUCUGAGAGGAUGACCAUCCACACUGGAACGGAGACACGGUCCAGACUCCUACGUGAGGCAGCAGUGGGGAGUAUUGCAUAAUGGGCGCAAGCCUGAUGCAGCCAUGCCGCGUGUAUGAAGAAGGCCUUCGGUUUGUAAAGUACUUUCAGCGAGGAGGCGUUACUCGCAGAAGAAGCACCGGCUAACUCCGUGCCAGCAGCCGCGGUAAUAC
rnacentral:rRNA from 1 species